UCUCCGAACAAUCCCCAUGCAGGGCCGUCAUCGUCCGUCGCUCCGGUGGCCCCCAACAAUCUCCAUGCAGAGCUGUCAUUGUCCGUCGAGCCGGAAUCCCCUAAAAAUCCCCAUGCAGAGGUGUCAUUGUCCGUUGCUCCGGCGGCCCCGAACAAUCCCCAUGCAGGAGUUGCUGAAGAAUUACAGGAAAAGAGACGGCAAGCAAAUACCAACUGAGAGCUUUCAACCAUUCCCCAGAAGAGCUUUGUUAAGCCCACGCGCCUGUACUAGGAAACCCGUGUACACGCCACCCAUGUACCAAAUCACCACACUGUGCAAGAUCCAAGCCAUCCAUCAGAUGGGGCCCGCAAUGAAGAUGAUCUUGACCUAAAAUGGAUGCAAUCUGCUGGUCAUUUGAGAUACAGUUUACUAAACAAAUGGACGGCCAGAAAAAUUGUCAUGACUGGAUUGGCCUGAGUUUUCAGCAGGAGCGUCUAUACAGUCGGACCCACCUGAUGGGUGGCUUGGAUUUCAAACACACACGGCACGUUGGAGCAUAGGGGAUGUGCUUAUCUCCCUUGUACACGUGUUUGAGUUUAACAAAGCUCUACCCUUAAACAGGAGAGGCAUUUUCUUUAAGUGCAUAUUUUUGGUUUUGACUAUGUACUGAGAAAUCAAAUUAGGCUAAGAUUGUUAUAUAAUUCAUAAGCUUUAUUGCUUAA